CUCUAAACACACGGCUCUCGCGGCGGCGGAGUAGCUCAGCAGGUUAGAGCAGCGGAAUCAUAAUCCGCGUGUCGGGG
rnacentral:tRNA from 1 species